AUAUUUACCUUGCAGGGGAGACACCAUGAUCACAAAGGUGGUUUUCCCAGGAUGAGGCUCAUCCAUUGCACUCCGGAUGUGCUGACCCCUGCGAUUUCCCCAAACGCGGGAAACUCGCCUGCAUAAUUUGUGGUAGUGGGGGACUGCAUUCGCGCUUUCCCCUG
ensembl:snRNA U1 U1 spliceosomal RNA